rnacentral:rRNA from 1 species
AGGGUUUGAUUAUGGCUCAGGAUGAACGCUGGCGGCGUGCCUAACACAUGCAAGUCGAGCGGAGAUGAAGAAGUUUACUUUUGAUUCUUAGCGGCGGACGGGUGAGUAACGCGUGGGCAACCUACCCUGUACAGGGGGAUAACAAUGGGAAACCAUUGCUAAUACCCUAUAACGCCUUUGAGGGGCAUCCCUUAAAGGUCAAAGAAUUUCGGUACAGGAUGGGCCCGCGUCUGAUUAGCUAGUUGGUGAGGUAAUGGCUCACCAAGGCGACGAUCAGUAGCCGGCCUGAGAGGGUGAACGGCCACACUGGAACUGAGACACGGUCCAGACUCCUACGGGAGGCAGCAGUGGGGAAUAUUGCACAAUGGGCGAAAGCCUGAUGCAGCAACGCCGCGUGAGCGAUGAAGGCCUUCGGGUCGUAAAGCUCUGUCCUAAGGGAAGAUAAUGACGGUACCUUAGGAGGAAGCCCCGGCUAACUACNUGCCAGCAGCCGCGGUAAUACGUAGGGGGCAAGCGUUAUCCGGAAUCAUUGGGCGUA